AUGAAGCCGUCUGCUCAGCAAAAUCAAGGAAUUGAUCAAAUACAAGACGAUGUUGAACAUGGAUACUAUGAUGAGGAUGAUGAUAGUGACUAUGAUCUUGAUGAUGCGAUGAGACACUUUGGUCUUAUGGCUAAUCUUCGCGGCUACAUGGCUGGAGGAAAGGAAUGGGUCCUUGAUAGUGGAUGUACUGAUCAUAUGACCGGAGACAAAGAUAUGUUUCGUGAGCUUGCUGAAAACGACGACCUCGAAAGUAUGUCACUUUUGGUGAUAACUCAAAGGGUAAGGUGGUUGGCCUCGGUAAGCUGGCCAUCUCACAUGAUAGCUCCAUACAAAACGUCAUGCUCGUUGAAUCUCUUGGGUACAAUUUACUUUCAGUAUCUAGACUUGCUGAUUUCGGUUUCAAUGUCCUAUUUACUGAAGUAG
rnacentral:rRNA from 1 species